rnacentral:rRNA from 1 species
UGUUGCAGUUAAAAAGCUCGUAGUUGAAUUUCUGGUCUCGGUCAUCGGUCUGCCUCGAACGAGGUACGCACCAGUUGACUGAAUCCAUCCUCGGGGAAAACGUGUCUGUCAUUCAGUUGAUGGGCUCGGGAUCCUCGUCAUUUACUGUGAGCAAAAUAGAGUGUUCAAAGCAGGCUUAUGCCGUUGAAUACAUUAGCAUGGAAUAAUAAGAUAGGACCUUGGUCUAUUUUGUUGGUUUGUACUCCAAGGUAAUGAUUAAUAGGGAUAGUUG